UAUCCCAUGCUGUUGUGCUAAUUCAGUUGCUUGUGAUCCUAGAAGUGUAGAAGUUUAGGAAGUGUUUUCAUCCCCCUUUUUUUAAAUUUCUUUUUAAAGCUUUUUAGACAUGGGCUGUGGGAUUACUCUACACAUUUGCCCAUGCCUUGGAUUGGUUGAAGUGCUUUUGUUUGAAAUAUUUGAAGGUUUAGAUCAACCCAAGUCAUGAAUUUGCACAUCAGCUCUGAAAUCACAAAAUAUUGAAUUAGAAAAUGAACUUUUGGAGCUGUGGAACAAAAUAGGACCUGGUCCCCAGAACAAGGACUUCUGUUUUAGUUCACUUGCAACU